UAUCUAUUUAAAAAAUAUUUUGUAAAAAAAUCUGUCAUUAACUUUUGACCUUGACGCGAUAACUGUAAAUUAUUCUUUCUGUCUAAUAUUGUUACAUAUAAUAUUUUUUAUGUAAAUACUAAAUAUUAACCGUUUUGUACGGAUAUUUGUACGAAUCUAUACGUGCGCAUGCGCUGCCACAUUCGGUUCAGUUUGCGCCGCAAUGAGUCCAAGUUAAGACUAAAGUGAAAUUGUUUCGCAUUUUUUCGCGUUUUAUAUCCGGCAAAAGUGAAUCGAGUGUGAAAAUAUGUACUUCAAACAUCGAGUAAAGUAGUAAGUUAUCAUUAGAAUAUGUUAAUUAAUGUGCAGUAUCGUAAUUAACAACGAUUUCUUCAAUUAUUUCAGGUGCUUGGUUAACUACUCGGACGGCGUCUCUUAUGAAGUUGGAGCGGAACCGCUUCGAUCAGAAGUUGAUGUCGAUUGAGAAAAUAUGUUGGUAGCAAUUAAAUGGCAGAGAUAGCUGGAUGGCGACAUCAAAUCUAUAUUUAACACCGUAUUUGAUUGACGUCGAACGUGUCCUACGAAUCGGCCAGCGAACCGUGAAUCGACAGUUAAAAUAUUUGAUCAUGACCGCUGGCCGCGGACGAAAGUUGAAGACCACAUUGCAUUGCUGUACAGCCCAGUUUACAUUGAAAAGAC